AACCUAAAUAUCCGGUAUGAGAAAGUCCUUAUUAUGAGUAUAUUAUUUUAUAAUGUAUUAAUAGUGUGCAUUUUUUUCAUAAAAAGGACAUUGUAAUCUGUUAAUACAAUUUAUAUAUUCUUUUAUAUAUUAUUUUUAUCAUAAAGAGUCAUGUAUAAGUUUACAUAUAAAUUAAUUAAUUUAUUAAUUAAUUGAUGUAAGAUCGAUGAAUUUCUAGAUAAAUAGUUAACAGUAUUAAAAUAUAUAAUGCUUACAUAAUUUUUUAUGUCUUAUAUAUAAUAUGUACAUGUACAUAUAUAUGCUUGGCACAAGGAGUAU
rnacentral:rRNA from 1 species